CUCUAAUUCUAUCCCGUGAGUAGGAAUGACAGGCAUUUUGACACCUGUUGUAUUGAUAAGGACACUGAGGCUCUGAGGAGUGAAAUGACUUUGGCCAGCCAAUGUCAGAGCCUGGAUUUGAACCUAGAUCUUGGGACUCUGGUACAAAAAAGGAUCUGUUGGGUCAUCUCUGCACAACUGCUCCCCUUCCUUCUGGCUGAUCAGCAAUUCAGUGAGCCUAAGGGCAUGUGUGAGGACAUGGAGAGAACUUCCAUCACUCAAGAUUAUCAUCUCAGAAGCCCACUAGCCCCAGGCUUUCCAAUGACCUCGGAUCUGGGAAGGACAAGGACUAACAAGUCAGUUUCCUCCAUAAUUCUUUCCUAAGAAGAGCAACAGCAGCUGUUGGACUAUUAUCCCUUGCCCAGAGGCAAGAGACUUAGCCUCGAGAUCACCAGGCUUUUGGCCAAAGUCUGGCUACCAAAAACUCUUUAGCUUGGACUGCUGCCUGGCAGUCAUUCUGAAACAUGCCCCUGGCAUCACAGGUGGAAGUUUGAGGGAACAGAGUUCAGGACCAAAUGUGCACCAUUAAGACAUUAGCGGGAUGGUUUGAUGUGAAGCAGGCCUAGGGAUGGAGGCAGAGCUUUGGGAGUUAAUGGGACAGGACCAGUACAGUUAAUUGCUUACUUGCCUGGAGACAUGUAGGGACUAAGGAAAUGGACAGAACUUCGGGAGUGGUUUUGUGGGAGCUAGUCAAUCUUGCCAUGUUAUAUUUUGUAAGUAGUGGCUAUGAGGAACCAUAAAUCAUGUGAAACAUAUGAACGAAAUGUCUACCCAGGUAAAAUAGAGUUCCAGCAGUUUCUCUGGAAAUGUCUUGGGACUGAGGCCUAGAUGUCAGUCAAGGAAUCUCAGAAUAACUCAUAAAAUAGAACCCUCUGUUCCCAAACCUACAAGUUAACAUGGGAGACAUAUGGCCCAGGAAGGCUCAUCUGAGCAGUGCCACCUACUUCUUUUGUUGAAUGCCCAUCCUGGCCUGGCCUGCUCUUCCACUGGUCACCACAGGGGAAAUCUAAGAAGAUAGAGCCUCCAAGUGUAGGGGGGAAAAAGGGAGGGGAUAGGGGUGACUGGCAACUGGACACAACCUCUGAGCAUAGUUAUCUGUCACAAAAGGAAUCUUGAAUCUGAUACAUGUCGUUUGACAGGCAGCGAGGUAGACACCUCACUGAAGAUAACUUAUUGAGGACCAAAAGAGGACCAAAAGACCUCAGGAAAUAGCACAUUUGAUAUCUGUUCUUGGUCUAGGUCUUUCCCUUCCUUUUCUCUACUCCAAGAUUUCAUCCACUGAGUCACAGUGGAAAACUGUGAUGUUUGAAAUUUACUGCUGAGAGAGUAGCAGGCACUAAUUUAGCUAAAUGUUUCCUUUUUAAUGGCAGCAUCAUAGAUGCCUCCAAUACCUUACCCUAAGCUGAUCCUUUCUAAUGAAUCAUUCACAUUUAAAUAUAGCUAUUUUGUCAUUGAGGAAAUAAAUCAGAAAAAGAGAUCAUGUGGGGAGAUUGUGGGAUACCAAGUGAUGGUUAAAGUGUUCCACUGGUACCCAAGGAAAAGUAAAGACUAGGGACAAAGCUUCUAGCAUGUUGGUGGAUCAUAUGGAAGAUUAUGGGUAAAAAUUACAGAGGAUAAGAAGAAAACAGAUGGGCUACAAUUUAUAUUCAUGGAAAGAAUAUUCGUAUUGAUGAACUGACAAACCCACUGAUGCAUUCUCCAGAGUCAGUAAGGAUUGGUUAGUGAGGACUGAAGAUGGAGCUUCCACACCUCAUUCUGAGCUUCUCAAGGUCAGCCACCUCUCAGCUUGGAUUGUCUCCUUUCUACCUGAUUCUGUUUAGUGGUUGUUCUUUAAGAGGGCACGGUGGGUCCUUCAAAAGGCCUUGAUCAUUUUCCUCUCUCAUAUAAUUCAGGAAUCAGAAAUCUAUUAGACUAGUUAAACCCUCAAUCUUGGGCUUUUAGUUUUAUUAUUUUCCCUCAUGGAGGAAGAUGUAGAAGUAGCUAAAGGACAUAUUUGGUUUUGCUUGUGACAAUCCAUUACUAAUGCUUUUUUAUAUGACAAAUUCAAAGAUAUGACCACUUACCAAUGGAAUUUAUUGUCUUUUUUACAAAUGAUCUCUAUUCAGAGGGUGGAAUACUCUCUCUAGCUUUCUUGAUAACCAAACCCCUAACCUUAUAUGACCAGACCUCUUUUGUGGGGUAAGGAAAGAGGUACUUGGCACAAAAUCCUCAAGUACAGAAUCUAAGAAUCCUAGUUAGAAGGGAAUUUAGAGGUUACUCCUACCUGAAUAAUGAAUCUCUCUAUAAUAUUCCCAACAAAUGAUUUUCCCAUUUACCAACAGGAAACUCCUCUUAUGAUUCUGAACAAGAAUUCCUUGGUCAAAUUUUUAAUAUCCUUCCUGAGUCAGGAGAUUAAGAGAACAAGGUAGUUUCUUCCCACUCUCAUAUUCUCUAAGUCUAAUGAGUUCUCCUUU